rnacentral:rRNA from 1 species
GACGUAGGGUGCGAGCGUUGUCCGGAUUUAUUGGGCGUAAAGAGCUCGUAGGCGGCUUGUCGCGUCGACCGUGAAAACUUGGGGCUCAACCCCAAGCCUGCGGUCGAUACGGGCAGGCUAGAGUUCGGUAGGGGAGACUGGAAUUCCUGGUGUAGCGGUGGAAUGCGCAGAUAUCAGGAGGAACACCGAUGGCGAAGGCAGAUCUCUGGGCCGUAACUGACGCUGAGGCGCGAAAGCUAGGGGAGCGAACGGG